AUGGGCAAUGCACCCUGAUCAGA
rnacentral:miRNA from 1 species